rnacentral:rRNA from 1 species
UACGUAGGGGGCAAGCGUUGUCCGGAUUUAUUGGGCGUAAAGAGCGUGUAGGCGGCCAUGUAGGUCCGUUGUGAAAACUCGAGGCUCAACCUCGAGACGCCGAUGGAAACCAUGUGGCUAGAGUCCGGAAGAGGAGAGUGGAAUUCCUGGUGUAGCGGUGAAAUGCGUAGAUAUCUGGAGGAACACCGGUGGCGAAGGCGGCAUUCUGGACCGACAUUGACGCUGAGGAGCGAAAGCCAGGGGAGCAAACGGG